UCUCUCAUCACUUAGCCAGGCUUGCAAUUAGCCUAAGGUCCAGCUUAAUGUAAAAGUUAAAGGUCUUCUCCAGUCUUUUCUGAGCAUCCAUCUUACCCUGGGAAAACUUUCAAAAUUGACUUCUAACUUUCCAUGCAUGCAACUUCCUAAUUUCUCAAAGACCUUCUCCCCAGCUUUUUCUUCUGGAAGACUUCAGGUCCCACAGAUGUGCUUUUCAUCUCUACACUGUUAUCAUUCUUGUAAUAAAUACUGCCAAAGGUCAUGAUCUCAAGAUUGUGGGAUUGAGC